UACCAGCACCCCGAGUGGUCGGGACGAUUAUUGGGCCUAAAGCAUCCGUAGCCGGUCAUGCAAGUCUUCCGCUAAAUCCAGCCGCUCAACGGUUGGGCUGCGGAGGAUACUACGUGGCUAGGAGGCGGGAGAGGCAAGCGGUACUCAGUGGGUAGGGGUAAAAUCCUUUGAUCCAUUGAAGACCACCAGUGGCGAAGGCGGCUUGCCAGAACGCGCUCGACGGUGAGGGAUGAAAGCUGGGGGAGCAAACCGG
rnacentral:rRNA from 1 species